CAAUCAGAAACAUAUCAACCAAUCUCGUAACAGUCAUGUUGUUAAUAAGACCAGUGACGUAAUAACAAACGUGAAAAAUGUUUCAAAUCCCCCAGUCCUGUUUCUACUUUUGAGCUGUAAAUAUAGUCUAUUGACCAAUGAUAGCAGGCACUUACUAGGUUAAAUUACUAUGAAGAAAAAACUUUAUCCUAUACAUUCACCAAACGAAAAUUCCAAUAAACAUACAACUCCAGCACUAAAUACAAGUUUGGAUACAGAUUUUCAUGCACGGUGUUGAGAUUAAGGAGAAACAGUAACCAACAAAUGAUCAUAAGUCUGCUUGAGCGCCUAUGUCCUUCCAGAUUAAGCAACUAUUGGCUUUGGAAUUAACAGGUCACAUGCGUGACAGGUGAAAAUGUCUUUUAUGAUAACAGAUAGACACAGAUGUAUUGUCUGUCACAAAACUGAAGCUUGUAUAGACACAAUUUUUCUCUAUAUUAAUCUGACAUGUAUGCAUACCACUGUAUAGUA